rnacentral:snoRNA from 1 species
AUCUUUCGGUUCAUAAGCAUGAUUGGGUGUUCACAGCAUUGUAUGAUGUGUGCAUCCCCUAAACCACCUUCAGACUUGGGCACAUUUCCCAUCUAAAA